rnacentral:snRNA from 1 species
UGUGAGCAUGCCUGUCGG